AUUCCCACCAGAUCUCGUACAAGGGGACGAUGGGCAACACCACAUGGACAUGCCCGCGACACCAGACUCUCCGCAGCGCCGAGUGUCCGCUUUCAUUGACAUCCAAGUCUCUUACCUGCUGCUGCAUCAGCCUACCCUAACGCAAGGGAGGAAUAGUAACUGAAUACUUACCAGCAACAGCAGCUAACAUCAUCAUCAACAAGUGCAGCCUGGAGGAGGCGCCGCCCCCUGUGCCUGUGGAUCUGCAAUCCAGCACUGCAUCGAGGAUGUGAACUACAGCAUGCGGGUGACCGAUGAGGAGUGCUGCCCUGCAAUUGCAGUGUACAUCUGCCACCGUCAAAAGGGAUAACCCGAUUCUGUUGGAAGGCCCAGCAUCGCUGCUUUCACAAGGCGUAGCUGUAUGCCACCGGUCACACGGCCUUGGAGACAUGCGAGAAGUUGGUGGGCCUGCACGCUGGUUGUGUGCCGUAGUCGGUGCCGCAACACUUUGCUCUCGCUGACUGGCCUCGUCUUCAAGGAAGACAGACUGGGAUGAAUCUUGGCUAGUGGCAGUAGUGGCCUUCUUUUCCUCUGCAUUGUUUACUCUCCUGUGCGUGCAAUGUGAUACCAUGGCUUUUGAGCCCAAGAUCUGGCACUGGUCUUUGAGAGAAUGUAAGUACUCAUUAAUAUGAAGUGCUGGCUGUUGGGUGCCCUUGGUAGUUAUUAUCUUCUGAAACCUGGUACAGUUGUCUCAGUACUUGAUGCAUGCCAGGUUUCUUCUUAUGGCUAAUUUGGCUUUACCAGACAUGAUUCAGCUCAUAAUAUAAUCCACAGUUUUACUAAAUCCGGCUAAUUUUGCCCGGAAGUUAAUCCUGCUAUUUGGUAUGGGCCCAAAUAGCCACUUUGAACGGUUACACCUGGGAUUAACUACACAAAUGUUCCUUUUUUACGAUAUAUGGUAUGCUUUAUGACUGGGUGUGUAUGAGGAGCUUUGAUGUUUGCUCCCCUGUUUUUGCAUUCUUCUUUGCAUGAUUAGUAAGCUAGCCUGCAAGGUCCUCUAUGCUUAGAUGUUUCAUAAGAAUUAUCCUCUGAAGCUCUGUAAUGAAAUAUUCUGGAGAUGUAUUGCCAACAGUUAGCGUAUGUAAUGAAUACAUUUAUGAUCUGCUCAGCCCUUUGUAUUUUCAAACAGAACAUUACUAGAGAAUUUUAUGUUCGAAUGUGUGAGCUUUAUGUUUGCUCUCUUAUCAGUAAAUUGUUCUUAUUUUAAUGUUAUUGUGUCAUUAAAAUGUCUACUGACUCAUGUUCAGUAGAGAGUCGAAGACAAUGAUGGUACAGAAGGACAACACAGUUUUUGACAUAAAAACUCUUGUCCCGGGUCUUAUAUUUAUUCUUUUCUUUGGCACAUGGAAGAUACGUCCUGUGAGUAAAUUAUGGCAUGGAACAUUGACUUGAUUGUCCCACUGAAAGCAUGAAUGCUUUAUAUUAAAGCAAAGGCAGUAAGCUUGAUUGAAAUGUUGUCUUGGUGGCUAUAGUCAGAGCUUAUACUAAUGACUACUAUCUACGUUUCUUGUUAUGAAUGCACUUGUAAUUUACAAUGGCUACUACAUCUCAUUUCCUGUACUAACAUUUGAUUUUCCUUGAUUGCUGCAAGCCUGGGAGCAUACGAGGAGGUUGCCUGAUGCAUGAGUCAGGUUUAGAAGCCUGUGAGCGAAGGAUACUGAUGUCUCCAUUGAGAGCUUUCCAUGCUCUCAUACAUGAAUUUGGACCUUCACUUCCAAUGUUGCUGCCGUGUGACGUUUAGAAAGGAAGGAUCUGGGUUGAUCCUUUCACUUUGUGUAUGCAUGUAAUCUGCUCUGAACAGCCUCGCCGACUGGUCUAUGCGCCCAUUUCUGCUUUAGAGUUGCUUUAGAGGGCCUGGAGUUGUAAUAUUAUUUCUGUUUGGUUGAACUCUUGAUGGAGGGGUAGGCUUGUCUGUAUGAAGUCGCGUUAGUGCCGUAUGCACCUUUUUUUUUGUGAAUCUGGUUCUGUCUGAUCUAUAUGUCCAAAAAAGAAUCAAGGUCAUUCUGAAA